UGAAUUGCGAUAAUUAAUGUGAAUUGCAUAAGCCUGUGAAUCAUCGAGUCUUUGAACGCACAUUGCACUCUCGGGGUCUUCCCGGGAGUAUACCUGUCUGAGAAUCGUAUCCACCAUGGACCUCCCUUGGGGGGGUGCGAGCUGGCGGGUCGGCCGAUAGCGUGAUGCUGUGCCGUCUGCCGAAAUGGAGGGAGCGCGGGGCAGCUGCUCUGUGCCAAGAGUGUGACGAGCGUGAUGCUGAAUUCACUCGAGGUGCGGGUCAAGUAGCUGUUCUGUGCUCCGGUCGCGAAGAGUGACCACUCCAGAGGUGUUUGGGAACGAGUCGGUUAGGGUCAUUCCUAUCCUCUCUCUCCCUCCCAUCACCUCUCUCUCCACGAUCUCAGAUCAGGCAAGAGUACCC
rnacentral:misc_RNA from 1 species